rnacentral:rRNA from 1 species
UACGGAGGGUGCAAGCGUUAUCCGGAUUCACUGGGUUUAAAGGGUGCGUAGGUGGGUUUGUAAGUCAGCGGUGAAAUCUCCGGGCUUAACUCGGAAACUGCCAUUGAUACUAUAGAUCUUGAAUUUUCUGGAGGUAAGCGGAAUAUGUCUGUAGCGGUGAAAUGCUUAGAUAUGACAUAGAACACCAAUUGCGAAGGCAGCU